GACGAACGCUGGCGGCGUGCUUAACACAUGCAAGUCGAACGGCAAGGCCCUGCUUUUGUGGGGUGCCCGAGUGGCGAACGGGUGCGUAACACGUGAGUAACCUGCCCUUGACUUUGGGGUAACUUCAGGAAACUGGGGCUACUACCGGAUAGGAUCUCCUGCUGCAUGGUGGGGGUUGGAAAGUUUCGGCGGUUGGGGAUGGACUCGCGGCUUAUCAGCUUGUUGGUGGGGUAGUGGCUUACCAAGGCUUUGACGGGUAGCCGGCCUGAGAGGGUGACCGGCGACAUGGGGACUGAGAUACGGCGCAGACUCCUACAGGAGGCAGCAGUGGGGAGUAUUGCACAAUGGGCGCAAGUCUGAUGCAGCAACGCCGCGUGCGGGAUGACGGCCUGCGGGUUGUAAACCGCUUUCGCCUGUGACGAAGCGUGAGUGACGGUAAUGGGUAAAGAAGCACCGGCUAACUACGUG
rnacentral:rRNA from 1 species